rnacentral:rRNA from 1 species
UACGUAGGGUGCGAGCGUUAAUCGGAAUUACUGGGCGUAAAGCGUGCGCAGGCGGUUUUGUAAGCCAGAUGUGAAAUCCCCGGGCUUAACCUGGGAAUGGCAUUUGGGACUGCAAGGCUUGAGUGCGGCAGAGGAGACUGGAAUUCCUGGUGUAGCAGUGAAAUGCGUAGAUAUCAGGAGGAACACCGAUGGCGAAGGCAGGUCUCCUGGGCUGACACUGACGCUCAUGCACGAAAGCGUGGGGAGCAAACAGG